rnacentral:rRNA from 1 species
ACGCUGGCGGCGUGCCUAAUACAUGCAAGUCGAACGCACGAAGUUGAAGAGCUUGCUCUUUAACCAAGUGAGUGGCGGACGGGUGAGUAACACGUGGGUAACCUGCCCAUUAGAGGGGGAUAACAUUCGGAAACGGAUGCUAAUACCGCAUAGUUUCAGGAAUCGCAUGAUUCUUGAAGGAAAGGUGGCUUCGGCUACCACUAAUGGAUGGACCCGCGGCGUAUUAGCUAGUUGGUGAGGUAAUGGCUCACCAAGGCAAUGAUACGUAGCCGACCUGAGAGGGUGAUCAGCCACACUGGAACUGAGACACGGUCCAGACUCCUACGGGAGGCAGCAGUGGGGAAUUUUGGACAAUGGGCGAAAGCCUGAUCCAGCAAUGCCGCGUGAGUGAAGAAGGCCUUCGGGUUGUAAAGCUCUUUUGUCAGGGAAGAAACGGUGAAAGCUAAUAUCUUUUGCUAAUGACGGUACCUGAAGAAUAAGCACCGGCUAACUACGUGCCAGCAGCCGCGGUAAUACGUAGGGUGCAAGCGUUAAUCGGAAUUACUGGGCGUAAAGCGUGCGCAGGCGGUUUUGUAAGUCUGAUGUGAAUCCCGGGCUCAACCUGGGAAUUGCAUUGAAACUGCAGGCUAGAAUCUGGCGGA